GCUGAUAUGGCUCAGUUGGUAGAGCGCACCCUUGGUAAGGGUGAGGGCCCCAGUUCGACUCUGGGUAUCAGCACCA
rnacentral:tRNA from 1 species